UACAGAGGAUGCAAGCGUUAUCCGGAAUGAUUGGGCGUAAAGCGUCUGUAGGUGGCUUUUUAAGUCCGCCGUCAAAUCCCAGGGCUCAACUCUGGACAGGCGGUGGAAACUACCAAGCCGGAGUACGGGAGGGGCAGGGGGAAUUUCCGGUGGAGCGGUGAAAUGCGUAGAGAUCGGAAAGAACACCAACGGCGAAAGCACUCUGCUGGGCCGACACUGACACUGAGAGACGAAAGCUAGGGGAGCGAAUGGG
rnacentral:rRNA from 1 species